rnacentral:rRNA from 1 species
AUUGAACGCUGGCGGCAUGCCUUACACAUGCAAGUCGAACGGCAGCACGGGUGCUUGCACCUGGUGGCGAGUGGCGAACGGGUGAGUAAUACAUCGGAACGUACCUUAUCGUGGGGGAUAACGCAGCGAAAGCUGUGCUAAUACCGCAUACGCCCUGAGGGGGAAAGCGGGGGAUCGAAAGACCUCGCGCGAUUAGAGCGGCCGAUGCCUGAUUAGCUUGUUGGUGGGGUAACAGCCCACCAAGGCGACGAUCAGUAGCUGGUCUGAGAGGACGAUCAGCCACACUGGGCCUGAGACACGGCCCAGACUCCUACGGGAGGCAGCAGUGGGGAAUUUUGGACAAUGGGGGCAACCCUGAUCCAGCAAUGCCGCGUGAGUGAAGAAGGCCUUCGGGUUGUAAAGCUCUUUUGUCAGGGAAGAAACACCGGCUCUAACACAGUCCGUGAAUGACGGUACCUGAAGAAUAAGCACCGGCUAACUACGUGCCAGCCGCCGCCGUAA